GACGAACGCUGGCGGCGUGCUUAACACAUGCAAGUCGAACGGAAAGGCCCUGCUUUUGUGGGGUGCUCGAGUGGCGAACGGGUGAGUAACACGUGAGUAACCUGCCCUUGACUUUGGGAUAACUUCAGGAGACUGGGGCUAAUACCGGAUAGGAGCUCCUGCUGCAUGGUGGGGGUUGGAAAGUUUCGGCGGUUGGGGAUGGACUCGCGGCUUAUCAGCUUGUUGGUGGGGUAGUGGCUUACCAAGGCUUUGACGGGUAGCCGGCCUGAGAGGGUGACCGGCCACAUUGGGACUGAGAUACGGCCCAGACUCCUACGGGAGGCAGCAGUGGGGAAUAUUGCACAAUGGGCGGAAGCCUGAUGCAGCAACGCCGCGUGCGGGAUGACGGCCUUCGGGUUGUAAACCGCUUUCGCCUGUGACGAAGCGUGAGUGACGGUAAUGGGUAAAGAAGCACCGGCUAAGUACGUG
rnacentral:rRNA from 1 species